UUGCGUUCGCAGCACAUAUACCAAAAUUGCAAUGAUACAGAAAGGAUUAGCAUGGCCUCUGAGCCAGGAUGACAUGCAAAAUGGUGGUAUGAGCCAUGAAGAG